rnacentral:tRNA from 1 species
GCCUGGGUGGCUCAGUUGGUUAAGUGUCUGACUUUGGCUCAGGUCAUGGACUAGCAGUUCGUGAGUUCAAGCCCCACAUCAGGCU